CGGCUUCGGGGCUCCUCUCCGCGCGCCAGGGCGCGGGCACCACCGCGGCCCCCUCGGGCGGGCACCAGGCUCGGGGCGCCAGGAGUCGGGGGCAGCCCUCCGGGGCUCCGGGACCAUGGCGCUGCGCGCCCGGGCGCUGUACGACUUCAGGUCGGAGAACCCGGGCGAGAUCUCGCUGCGGGAGCACGAGGUGCUGAGCCUGUGCAGCGAGCAGGACAUCGAGGGCUGGCUCGAGGGGAUCAACAGCCGCGGGGACCGCGGCCUCUUCCCGGCCUCGUACGUGCAGGUGAUCCGAGCCCCCGAGCCCGGCCCGGCGGGCGACGGCGGCCCGGGCGUCCCGGCCCGCUACGCCAACGUGCCACCCGGCGGUUUCGAGCCCCUGCCCGCCGCGCCGCCCGCCUCCUUCAAGCCGCCGCCCGAUGCCUUCCAGCCGCUGCUGCAACCGCAGCAGGCGCCGCCGCCGAGCACCUUCCAGCCGCCGGGCGCUGGCUUCUCGUAUGGCGGGGGUGCCCUGCAGCCGUCGCCGCAGCAGCUCUACGGCGGCGGCUACCAGGCCAGCCAGGGCAGCGACGAUGACUGGGACGACGAGUGGGACGACAGCUCCACGGUGGCUGACGAGCCGGGCGUGCUGGGUAGCGGCGCGUACCCGGACCUUGACGGCUCGUCGUCGGGGGGCGUCGGCGCUGCGGGCCGCUACCGCCUGUCCACGCGCUCCGACUUGUCGCUGGGCUCCCGCGGCGGCUCGGCGCCCCCGCAGCACCACCCGUCGGGGGCCAAGAGCUCGGCCACCGUGAGCCGCAACCUCAACCGCUUCUCCACCUUCGUCAAGUCGGGCGGGGAGGCCUUCGUGCUGGGCGAGGCGUCGGGCUUCGUGAAGGACGGGGACAAGCUGUGCGUGGUGCUGGGGCCCUACGGCCCCGAGUGGCAGGAGAACCCCUACCCCUUCCAGUGCACCAUCGACGACCCCACCAAGCAGACCAAGUUCAAGGGCAUGAAGAGCUACAUCUCCUACAAGCUGGUGCCCACGCACACGCAGGUGCCAGUGCACCGGCGGUACAAGCACUUCGACUGGCUGUAUGCGCGCCUGGCCGAGAAGUUCCCCGUCAUCUCGGUGCCCCACCUGCCCGAGAAGCAGGCCACCGGCCGCUUCGAGGAGGACUUCAUCUCCAAGCGCAGGAAGGGCCUGAUCUGGUGGAUGAACCACAUGGCCAGCCACCCGGUGCUGGCUCAGUGUGACGUCUUCCAGCACUUCCUGACCUGCCCCAGCAGCACCGACGAGAAGGCCUGGAAACAGGGCAAGAGGAAGGCCGAGAAGGAUGAGAUGGUGGGCGCCAACUUCUUCCUGACCCUGAGCACACCCCCCGCCGCCGCCCUCGACCUGCAGGAGGUGGAGAGCAAGAUCGACGGCUUCAAGUGCUUCACCAAGAAGAUGGACGACAGCGCGCUGCAGCUCAACCACACGGCCAAUGAAUUCGCGCGCAAGCAGGUGACGGGCUUCAAGAAGGAGUAUCAGAAGGUGGGCCAGUCCUUCCGCGGCCUCAGCCAGGCCUUUGAGCUGGACCAGCAGGCCUUCUCGGCCGGCCUGAACCAGGCCAUCGCCUUCACCGGAGAUGCCUACGACGCCAUCGGCGAGCUCUUCGCCGAGCAGCCCAGGCAGGACCUGGACCCCGUCAUGGACCUGUUAGCGCUGUAUCAGGGGCACCUGGCCAACUUCCCCGACAUCAUCCACGUUCAGAAAGGUUAAUCAUUUGGGAAAUAGAGCCGAGAUGUUGUGUUUCCCCUCUUGCAGUUAAUUAUUACUUACGAUCCCGGCAAGGUGAGUGAAAGAAAACUACCCUGAAUCAAAAGGUGAGUUCUGAGAAGUCAUCCUUCAUGUCUCAGUUCUAAGAAAGGUACCUGAGGACAUUAUUGAGCCAACUGUAUUAUGAUUUUCCCCUCCUGGGAUUUCCUUCUUAGUGAAUGACACCACUAGUCACCCUUCUUCAAGCUGGAAACCUGGAUGUCAUCCUUGACCCCCAUUUCUCUCUCCCCUCCAAGCUUGAAGAGUGACCAAAUUCUGUCAACUCUACCUCUUUAACACCCUCUUUUACCAUCUUUGCCUCCUCACCCUGAAGACCUCACCGCCUCAGUCCAGUGGUCACCAUCUGUUGGAUGGUAUAUUACAGUGAAGUGUAGCCCUGCUUUCAAUCCCUUCUCUAGGCAGCUGCCCCAAAGAAUAUGAAACCAUAAGUCUGAUUAUGCUGUUCCCCAGCCCAUGCCACUCCUUUGCUCUGAUGCUCUUUUCCUUCCACUUGUCCUUCUGAUGAACAUCUAGCUAUUCAUCUUUAUGAGUCAGCUCGUCUGAGGGUUUUUCUUGAGAAAACUCUCUACUUUCAGCUUCUAGAAGUGGCCACUCCCACCUUUGCACCCUGCGGUGUCCUGAACACACUUCUUCAGUCCACCUGUGUCCUCUACACUGGAAACUUUUUCUAGGCCAGGAUGUCUUCAACCUACAGUGUCCAAAUGGCCACUACGGCAGAGUAGCUGCUUAUUAAAUGCCUGUGGUUUACAAGAUGCUGUUUUGUACUUUGCUGCUCACAAAGUACUUUCAAAAACAUUGCCUCACUUAAAACAUUUUUUUCUGAGACUUGCAUCCUGGCUCUUGAGAAAGUCCCUCCAUAUCUUUGAACCUAGUGUCCCGAUAUAUCAGGGUAUAAUCAUACUUAUUUGUGAAUUAAAGUCCAUGUUCUUCUUCCUGUCUUGAAACUGCUUCUCUAACAGAGAGAGAGAAAAAUGACCAUUUACAUAAGUAACAAGUGCAAGUGCUAUGUGGCAAAACUGAAAACUUUAUAUCACCAUUAACCAAAUUAAAAUUUCAGUUUCCACUUUUCCAUUCACUCAGAUUCAGGUGUUGUCUGUGUAGAAUGUACAUCACUGUACUGUUUGAAAUGAAUUUGAAUAUAUCACACUUAUACAGUUUAACAGAGCCAAAGGACAACUGGAUUCUUGGCACUGUGUUAGAAUCUUUCACAUAGAUAAAGCCAUCUAUGAUGUGAUUAUUAUAACCACUGUGCCCAGGGUGCCACAUUUACCUUUGGUGAGUCUCCCUCUUGUUGAAACUAGGAGAUAAUUUAAUUAAAACAUUGAUUAAAUGCUUAUUGUGUGUUUUCCACAGCAACUAACACAGUGGUUUGUGUUAUCCAAGUUGUAUAAGGCUUGGCUCUCCCUGGAAUAGUUUGUGAACAUCUAACCCCCCUAUUAUAGUAGGACUAAAAUACUAGUCCGAAUUACUAAAAGAGAUGACCAGAAACUAGGAGCAUAGAAAGGCAAGAUCACUCUCAGUUGAGAGAUCAAUCCAUCCUUGCAUUAUGGAGGAAAAUUAGACUUUCCUUUAAGACCAAGUAAGAAAUAACAUAAUUCAACAUUUAUUAAGCUCUUUCCAUGUUAAGCACUUUACAAGGAAUACUUCAUUUAAUCCUUUAGAGAGUCCCAUGAGGUUAGGAUUUGUAAUCACAUUUUAUGAAGGAAGAAACUAAAGCACAAAAAAGCAGACUCAGAGAAGUGGCAGCAGCAGGAUUUGAAUUCAGAGAGUUGGCUUCCUAUUCCACUCGGUUAACCCAGUCUGUAAACCAGGCAGUGUCUGAUGAUAGCAUCAUCAGGUCUUACCUUGGCAGAUGAAUGAUUUGCCAAAUCUGCCCCAGCUCGGCUGUGCUUUGAGACCCCCAGUCCCUGUUCUGUGAACAUGGGUGGGAGAAUUGACCUGAUAAUCUGGAUUAGCUCUCCUUCUAAAGUUAGAAUCCCCAGAUUGCUUACACAAGAUGGAUUUGGGUUUUGGAGAGAGGUGGAGUAGACCUAUGUGUAUGUGUUGAGGGGUGAUGGGUGGGAAAGGAGACACUUUGGGGGGACCCUGCACCCUCACUACUCUUCUUAGAGUUUCUUCUCAUUUUGAAAGCUGACCUACCAUUUCUUUAGUCAGUAGAAAUACUGAGUUCUCUGGUCUGGAUCCAUUGACUCUGCUGAGAACCGAGUGCCACCUCUGAUUUACCACACUUGAAUCCAGAACCUCAUUGCCUUUUGAAAGACAUACCAGUCAAGAUAUGGUACAGGAAGCAGGGCUCAGACUGCAAAUCUAUUGCUUCACAGUCACUGCUGAGCACUGUUUCCAGGCACCCAGAGGAGUACAGGUUUCCAAGCCUCUCUUCAUGGAACUUGGAGUCCAUUGGACAAUUCCACCACCUACAGAGGUAAAAAUGAAUUUUAGAAAGCUGUAGUAAUUCAAAACAAAACAAAACAACCCAUCUCCCUGAGGGUAUUUGAAUUUAGCUUCUGAUGAAAAUAAGGCCAUUUCAGUGACAUCAUACAGCCAUGUUUACCUUUUCCUGCCAUCUCCGAUUGGAGCCAGCUCAGUGCUUGUCCCCGGCCAAAACUAACAGCUGGACGUCUUUUGCAACUUUAAGAAGCCACUCUUUUAUUUAGUGCUGAGAAAUCUUUCUAAGGAUUGUUUCACGGAACUGUGCUCAGUCCAGCUCUUCUGUAGGGAAACAAAUCCAGGAUGGCUUUAAGGGUAAUCAGUUAUCACAGAGUCAAAGUUCAUUAUCAUUAAACCAGGUUACUGUUUCAGUGGAUGUUUCACUUAGUAUAUGUUUAGAAGGGCUCCAAAUUAAACAAUCUGACCAAUUCCUUUUUCACUUGUCUCUCUGCCAGUAAAUAAAUGCUGAAUAUUAUAGUCCAUGUGACUGAGUCUCUUCUCCUCUACACAAGGCUGUUAUUAAUGUAACUUUUAUUGAGUACCUACUGCAUGUAAGGCUCAAUUUUGGAUGCCAUGGUGAAUGGAAAGGUGAAAAAGACACUCCUUCUCUUCUCUAGAAGAUAUUGGGAAGGUACCACCACAUAUAAAAUAUCUGAACAAGCCAUGCGAUAAUCACCGCUAGCUGAAGGAACCUCUAGGGGUCAGAGGAGGUAUCUGAGAGGAGAGAGAUUUGAACCGGACUUAAAAUGAUGUGCAGGACUUUCCUGAGUAGAUGUGACAUCUGCAGAGUCGCAGAUGAUUGAUUAUGCUGUACAAGCACUUGGGGGAGCGGCCAUAUUCACCGUAGCUAUUCAUUGUCAAUGAAGGCUGUUGCCUGUAAGUUUCAGCUUCCACUGCAGAACCCAAACAGAGUCAGCGCAGACUGCACUGUACAUUGACCCUCUUUAACAGAGACAAGAAGACCCCUCACUCCUACCUCUCUCCUGUUGCACAGGGAGAAGUUAACCAGAGAUCCUGAGAAGGCUGGCAUGUCCUUGCUCUGGCCAGCAGUCCGGUCUCUGAAAAGGUUGAGGGAGGCUCACGGUAAUCUUGGGAAGAUGCUGGUCACUGGUCCAAUAAGCACCUGGUCCCUGGAGCACAUUUCCCUUGUAGGGUCCUGCAUUCAAGCAGACAAAACCCCCCCUCUCUCCUUCUACCUCCUGGGUCAUGUUUCUCUUAGCUCAGCUUCCCAGAGACAUGCAGAGGCCAGGGGAGUGGAUCCAGCCAAAACAUGUCCUUGGCGGAGAUGCCAAGAUAGAGCCUUGAAGAACAAAGGAAGUGUAGCAGAUAAGUGGCUUCCUCCGAAGGAAUCCAGUGGGUUAUGACUACAGUGAGCUGUUGGCACCAGCGGGGGAUGGAAACCGGGCCUUGAAAGCUGAAUCCCAGCUUGUCUGGGAUGCAGUCAAACCUGGCACGUGUGUAGCAUGAAUGAGGGCUGGAUGCAGGAUGCUGUGGGGCUCCCUCUCAGUGGUGUGGCCUUUCCCAGCAGCCCCGCCCAACGAUGGAGAAGGGGACUGAGUCACAGGGGGAGCUGAGCUGUGUGCUCUGACCACCAGAGCGGCUGCUUCAGGCCAGGGAGGAAUAAGAUUUGUCCUGGUUUCUUUAAAAAGAAAACACACAAGUUCUUUCUAUUUAGCCAAGCCUUAGGCAGGUAAGAAGUAUCCCUUGCAAAUUCAGGGCAGUGUCUUUCUGAUACUGCAAUCACUUGGUUUGCUAGCUUUUUAAAAAAGCUAAAAACUUCAGGCCUGGUGAACUUGAAUCUGAGAUAAUUUGGGAAAUUUGCCAAGUUUAACGCGUGCCCCAUGUGAGUCCUUUGCCCUAGAUAAGUAAAAUCCUGCCUCUAGUUACAAAUAGAAGGACUGUGAAGCUUGCGUUUUGUAUACCAAGCAGUGAUGGUGGCUUCCAGAAGACCUAAAUGAAAUUCAAGACGUUCAUUCACUUCCCCAAACAUAUUUAGAUCCUGAAGCUGAGAUCCUGUGAUACUUUAGAUACUAAAUAGUUCAGGGACUGCAGUGGUACUAGCCUACCUCAGCUAGUUGCCUGACAUGGUUGCAAGACAAUUUAUACAUCUGAGCUUCUGUUUUUGCAUUUUCAAAAGGGUAGAGUUGACUGGUUGAAUGCAAUUGGAACCAAGAGUUCUUCCGGUUUUGUCUGGGUUGAACAGAGGACCCCCAUCAAGGGAAAUGGGCUCCAGGAGCCAGUGACCAGCAUCUGCUUUUAUUCUGCUGAGGUUUAGUGGUUGAGAAACUAGGCUUUGAUGCAAGACCUUCCUGUUUGAAACCAAACUCUGACACCCAUUAGCUGUAUGACUUUGGGCAAGUAACUUAACAUCUCUAUGUCUCAAUUUUCUCAUCUAAAAGGGAAUAUAAUAGUAAGAUAUUCCUCCCAAGUGUUACAAGCACGUAAAGCACUUAGAAUCUCGCCUGCCUGGUAGAAACACUCAACAAAUGUUGACUUUAGUAUGCAUUUUGUGUUUUAUAGAUGAUCCUUUGCAAGACCUUCCAGCUUAAUCACUGAGAGCUUCCCUGGGGCUUGAAAGUACAUUUUACUACAUGUGCUGGGAUAGUACGCUAUGUUCGUCUAGAGUCAACAAAUAUUUACUAAGGCUUUACCUGGUAACAAAGGUGCAGAGAAAAGGCAUAUACGUUGCCUUCACGCAGCUAUUAGUCUUGUCGGGAGAUAGGCAUUUUAUUGUUGGUUUACUUGCCUGUAAUUGUACAAAGAACUAUGAACAAAGGAAGAAUCUGUUAGUCCUUCGAAUCCUUUUUUCUUUGCUUUCAUGGCAGAAUCUCAUUUUGAUCCUGACAAGAGUCCUGUGCAAAAAGCAGGCAGUAUUUAGGAGAGUGGUUUUCAAUACUCAGUGACUUGUGGGGUUCUUUGGAGGCCCUUAGAAGCCAAGGGGGGAAGUGAAAUGAACAUUAAGGGUCUCCCUGUCCCUCCUCCAAGUACACAUGAACACACUUCCUCCAAUCAGAAUAUGUCUAUUCUAACUAUUUGAACUUCCUCAGGAGGCCGUCAUUAAAUCAGGUUCUGCUGGGUGUAGAGAGUGGUGUGGAGGAAGAAAUCCAAGAUCUGGCUCUUUCCUGCAAAUUAGGACUUCUGAGAGGAUGGCCUUGGCAUAGAACUGAGGCUCAAGAAGGAGAGGCAGAGCCUCGGGGCUCUUUCUCACUGAGAUGCAAGUGGAAUUCAUUGUGGAGCAGCUGACAUGGGGCAAUUAAUAAAUGAACUUUAUUUGUCCAAUCUGAAAAACACCAAGAAUAUGAGCAGAACAUCUGUGGAGAAGAAACGCCAUAGAGAGUGCUUAAAUGUACGAGGACUGAGAGAAGAAAUCUGAGACUUUUGAGCCUGGAAAUGGAAUACAAAGGCAGAACUAUCAGAGAGGAAUCUCUUCAUAAUUUUCUUAUGAAUUCAUCAUGAAUAAAAUGUUUGAUAUCAGAAUUUGUAACCGAGCGGGACCCUAUGGUGCCUUCCCACAACUGACCUCCCCCCAGGCCCUCCUCCGCCUGCCUUUUGUCUGUAGAAAAACUUUAGUCAAAGAAUAUAUUUAAACAGAGAAGUGAGAAAAUGCAGAAAGAAAGGAAAACAGUCAGAAUACAAAAUAAUAAUAGUUUAGCCAUUAAACAAAGUCAAGGACCUUUCAUUCCUCCUCGAGGGCUAUAGAGAAUAUUCUGAGUCAUGUCCUUUGAGCUGUCUGAUAGAUACUGGACCUCACCCUCUGCCCCCACCAGGUGGAAGAAGUUAACUGUAUGCUGCCCACAAGCAUGUAGACCCCAGACUGGUUGGAACCAGAAGGUUGAUGAUGCUGACUCCCGAUUACCUCACCACCAACCAAUCAGAAGAGUGUCCACGAGCUGACCACACAUUCCACAACCUCCCUCCCUCACCCUGUCUUUAAAAGUCUCUCCCUGAAAGCCUUCAGGGAGUUUGGGUCUUUUAAACACUAGCUGCCUGGACUCCUUGCCUGGCGCUCUGCAAUAAACACUG